UCUAUCUCGACUAGGAAUAGUACACGCUGACUGGACUGGUUGACCUGUCAAUUUCUUUAAAGUAGCGAGACGUGGAUGGAUGCAGAUGGUGUACCCCUAGCAAUGAAGACUUUUAUUGAUGCUUCAAUUCAGAAGGCCCUGACUGAAAUUCCGCCUUCAAAUAAGCGAGGAUCUACUCCGGAUCGCAAGUACACUCUGUACACUCCCAAACUGUUAAGGAUAUUUAAGAACUGAGGCUCCAUAAUCGGGUUCCCUUUAUCUCUCUCUUUUUUGGUGGUAACAAAUAAGCGGCCUGGGACAGAGACUGUCAUCAGUUCACCGAUCGGUCCAGAAGAGCUCCUCCGAUGUCCUGAUCCAAGCCCAAGCGGGGGGCUGAAGAGGUCCAUGAUCCGGCUGAAGUCUUCAUCCAAGCGGGCCAGAAGAGGUCUUCCAUCCGAUUGAAGUCUUCAUCCAAGCGGCAUCCAUCCGGAGCGAAGUGGCAGCAUCCUGAAGACCUCCACCGCGGAACAUCCAUCCUGGCCGACGACUGAACGACGAAUGACGGUUACUUUAAAUGACGUCACCCAAGAUGGCGUCCCUCGAAUUCCGAUUGGCUGAUAGGAUUCUAUCAGCCAAUCGGA